rnacentral:rRNA from 1 species
UACAGAGGGUGCAAGCGUUUAAUCGGAAUUACUGGGCGUAAAGGGCGCGUAGGUGGGUUGAUAAGUUAGAUGUGAAAUACCUGGGCUUAACCUGGGAGGGUCAUAUAAUACUGUCAAUCUAGAGUAUGGUAGAGGGUAGUGGAAUUUCCGGUGUAGCGGUGAAAUGCGUAGAUAUCGGAAGGAACAUCAAUGGCGAAGGCAGCUACCUGGACUGAUACUGACACUGAGGCGCGAAAGCGUGGGUAGCAAACAGG